UUCAUUUUUGAAUGUGCAACAUGUUUAUUUACGCUGUAUUUAUGGUAACUUUUUCUUUCGUCUGCACAUAAGCCUACUGGAACGCACCUAUAAAUUAACGUUCUUACAUCUGUGAUUGUAUCAUUUGACGGUCCUGACAAUUUAUUAUUUAUUACUUUCUUGAAGCUGAUGCUUCGUCCUCAUUGUAAUAAUUGGGUUAAUUUUGGUAUUUUACUUGGUGUUUGAUUGUUGACAUAAUACUGCUGCUGUGGUGUAGGGCUCCGUGGAUUUUGUUUUUUGCUUCUUACCAUUAACUUAGAAGUAAUUUGCAGUCAAAUGGCAGUGCAACAUCUGCGGGUCGUCUUUGUGAUUGUGUUAGUAUCUAAUUCUUAAAUAGUUGACCUAAUAGUUUACUGUAGUGUAGGACUCCGAGUACUUUGUUGUUUGCUGCUUACCAUUAACUUAGAACGAAUUUGCAGUCAAAUAGCAGUGCAAUAUCUGGGGAUUGUCUCUGUGAUUGUGUCAGUAUCUAAUUCUCAAAUAGUUGACUUAAUAGUCUACUGUAGUGUAGGACUCCCUGGACUUUGUUGUUUGCUGCUUACCAUUAACCUAGAACGAAUUUGCAGUCAAAUGGCAGUGCAAUAUCUGGGGAUCGUCUCUGUGAUUGUGUCAGCAUCUAAUUCUUAAAUAGUUGACUUAAUAGUCUACUGUGCUGUAGGACUCUCCGGACUUUGUUGUUUUCUGCUUAACCUAGAACGAAUUUGCAGUCAAAUGGCAGGGCAAUAUCUGGGAAUCAUCUAUGUGAUUGUGUGAGCAUUUAAUUCUUAAAUCGUUGACUUAAUUGUCUACUGUGUUGUAGGACUCCCUGGACUUUGUUGUUUGCUGCUUACCAUUAACCUAGAACGAAUAUGCAGUCAAAUGGUAGUGCAAAAUCUGGAGAUCCUCUCUAUGAUUGUGUCAGCAUCUAAUUCUUAAAUAGUUGACUUACUAGUCUACUGUAGCCUAGGACUACGAGGACCUUGUUGUUUGCUGCUUACCAUUAAUCUAGAACGAAUUUGCAGUCAAACGACAGUGCAAUAUCUGGGGAUCGUCUCUGUGAUUUUGUCAGCAUCUAAUUCUUAAGACUCCCUGGACUUUGUUGUGUGCUGCUUAUCGCUAACCUAACACGAAUUGGCAGUGAAUAGUGGUGGGAAUAAAGUCCAUUAUACUAUUUAUUGAUAUAAACUGAGAAAUAAGUUCAUAAUUACUUUAAGGUGCUAUGCAUGCUAUAGCUAUAGAAGAUGAAUUAAUAAUUCAUAAUAAGCGCCGUUCGGCGUUGUGAUCGGAUUACGGUAUUAAAUAACUGAUGGAUAGUAGAUGGAAACCUACGGACGUGGAAGGUUUUUUGUCUUGUAGCUGUUGGCGCCCCUUGUUUGUUGCGGUCUGGGAAUGCAGUACUCGGGAGUCAGUGAGUUGUGUCCGGUGUCAGGAGAUUAUGCCUUGUCCCAUACGGUUCAGCAGGGUUCAUGUAACAGGUAAGUGAUAAACGUUACGUUUUUGGGGUCUAGUAGAAUUAGAUGUAGGGGUCGUCUCGUCAGGUUAGGUCAGGUCAGGUAACGUCAGGGUAUUUUUGGUCUGGUCAGACCAAGUGGAAUCAGUUCAGGUCGGGUUGGAUUAGGUCAAGUCUUAUUGGGUCUGGUCGGAUUAAUUCGUGUUGCAUCGGAUUAGGUCAGGUCAGGUCGGGCCAGGUCAGAUCAGGUCCGGUCUAGUCGGGUCAUUUAAGGUCGACAUAGGUCAGGUCACGUCGGAUUAGGUAAGGUCGGGUCAGAUCAGGUUGGUUAAUUCCGUUCAGAUCGGGUCGGGUCAGGUCGCAUUGGGUCGGGUGAGAUCGGGUUACUCGUGCUACGUCGGGUUAGGCCAGGUCAGUUUGGGUUCGGUCAGGUUCUGUUCGGUCAGGAUAGGUAAAGUCUGGUAACUUUAAGUCGGGUCAGGUUAGGUCGUGUCAGUUUAGGUCAUGUAGGGUAAGGUCAGGUCGGGUCACUGUCGGGAGCGGUGAGGUUAAGUCGGGUCGGGUCGUUAGGACAGAUCGCGUUAGGUUAGGCCUGGCCUAUACAGGCGGGUCAGGUCAUAUAGGGACAGUUUAGGUCAGGUCGGGGCAGGUGAGGACGUAUUGGGACGGGUCAGGUCAGGUUAAUUCGUGUUGCGUUGUCAGGUCAAAUCGGGACACAAGGUCGUGUCAUUUCAGGCCAAGUCGACUUCGGCCAGUUCGCGUCAUAUCAAGUAGGGUCACUAGGUCGUACUAUUUCAGGCUCGGUCAGGUCAUGUCAAGUCAGGUCAGGUCAGGGCCGGUAAGGCUGCUUUGGGUCGAGUCAGGUUAGGUCAGGUCAAGUCGGGUCGGUUCAGGUCAGGCCGUGUUGGCUAGCCUCAGGUCUAUUAUUUCUGGUCCGGUCGAAUAGGUUACUGUUAGGUCGGGUCAAGUCAUUUGGGGUCAGUUCAGAUCAGAUCGGGAUGGAUCGAUUCCGAUUGCAUGGCGACGGGUUAGGUAA